GAGUCUUCUGAAAUGAUUGAAAGC
rnacentral:siRNA from 1 species